GUGCUCACUUCAACAGCACAUACACUAAAAUUGGACCGAUAAAGAUAAAAUUAGCAUGACACUCAAAUUCAUGAAGUGGUCCAUAUUUAA
rnacentral:snRNA from 1 species